GAUGAACGCUGGCGGCGUGCCUAAUACAUGCAAGUCGAGCGAACGGACGAGAAGCUUGCUUUUCUGAUGUUAGCGACGGACGGGUGAGUAACACGUGGAUAACCUACCUAUAAGACUGGGAUAACUUCGGGAAACCGGAGCUAAUACCGGAUAAUAUUUUGAACCGCAUGGUUCAAAAGUGAAAGACGGUCCUGCUGUCACUUAUAGAUGGAUCCGCGCUGCAUUAGCUAGUUGGUAAGGUAACGGCUUACCAAGGCAACGAUGCAUAGCCGACCUGAGAGGGUGAUCGGCCACACUGGGACUGAGACACGGUCCAGACUCCUACGGGAGGCAGCAGUAGGGAAUCUUCCGCAAUGGGCGAAAGCCUGACGGAGCAACGCCGCGUGCGUGAAGAAGGUCUUCGGAUCGUAAAACUCUGUUAUUAGGGAAGAACAUCUGUGUAAGUAACUGUGCACAUCUUGACGGUACCUAAACAGAAAGCCACGGCUAACUACGUG
rnacentral:rRNA from 1 species